AACGAACGCUGGCGGCAUGCCUAACACAUGCAAGUCGAACGAACCCUUCGGGGUUAGUGGCGCACGGGUGCGUAACGCGUGGGGAUCUGCCCAAAGGUUCGGAAUAACUCAGAGAAAUUUGAGCUAAUACCGGAUAAUGUCUUCGGACCAAAGAUUUAUUGCCUUUGGAUGAACCCGCGUAGGAUUAGCUUGUUGGUGGGGUAAAGGCCUACCAAGGCGACGAUCCUUAGCUGGUCUGAGAGGAUGAUCAGCCACACUGGGACUGAGACACGGCCCAGACUCCUACGGGAGGCAGCAGUGGGGAAUAUUGGACAAUGGGCGAAAGCCUGAUCCAGCAAUGCCGCGUGAGUGAUGAAGGCCUUAGGGUUGUAAAGCUCUUUUACCUAGGGAUGAUAAUGACAGUACCUGGAGAAUAAAGCUCCGGCUAACUCCGUGCCAGCAGCCGCGGUAAUGUGGUACGAU
rnacentral:rRNA from 1 species